rnacentral:rRNA from 1 species
CAAUAGCGUAUAUUAAAGUUGUUGCAGUUAAAAAGCUCGUAGUUGAAGUUUGGGCCUGGGCGGGCGGUCUACCUAUGGUGAGUACUGCUGCGGCCGGGUCUUUCCUUCUGGCUAGCCCUCGGGCGAACCAGGACGAUUACUUUGAGGAAAUUAGAGUGUUCAAAGCAGGCCUUUGCUCGGAUAUAUUAGCAUGGAAUAAUAGAAUAGGACGCAUGGUUCCAUUUUGUUGGUUUCUAGGACCAUCGUAAUGAUUAAUAGGGACGGUCGGGGGCAUCAGUAUUCAGUUGUCAGAGGUGAAAUUCUUGGAUUAACUGAAGACUAACUACUGCGAAAGCAUUUGCCAAGGACGUUUUCAUUAA